CAAUAGCGUAUAUUAAAGUUGUUGCGGUUAAAAAGCUCGUAGUUGGAUUUCAGCCGAGGACGACCGGUCCUGCUUCGUGCAGGAACCUGGUUUGGCCGAGGCAUCUCUUGGUGUGAGUGUAAGCGUGUGAAAGCGCUGCACAAGCUCCAGGACUUUUACUUUGAGGAAAUUAGAAUGUUUCAAGCAGGCGUCUGCCUUGAAUACAUUAGCAUGGAAUAAUAGGAUAGGACUUCAGUCCUAUUUUGUUGGUUCUUGGGACUGUAGUAAUGAUUAAUAGGGACAGUCGGGGGCAUUCGUACUUAACAGUCAGAGGUGGAAUUCUUGGAUUUGUUAAAGACGAACUACUGCGAAAGCAUUUGCCAAGGAUGUUUUCAUUGA
rnacentral:rRNA from 1 species